rnacentral:lncRNA from 1 species
AUGAGAGACAGAAAAUCAUCUUCGCAGUGGAGAACUGAGGCACAAACUCAUUAUGUGCCAAAACCCUGCCUGUCCCCAGAUGUUAUGUGCCAGAAGAUUGCCUCAAUCUACCACUCAUGUUUUACCAGAGCGCUCUACAGCCUGUCUGGGAUGGGAGAGCAGGAGAGAUGUUCCCAGAAAACAGCGGCACAAGCUCUGGUGGCCCUGGAAGGACUUCUGCUGACAGUGCUUCCAAACUUUCAGUGUGCAUCUCUAGAAACAGAGGGAGAGAGAAGCAGCACUUCCAGAUGGGAAGAUAUACUGGAAAUGUGGAGUGUCCAUCUGAAAAGAGACACCUGGACUUAUAGCCAUGAGGACAAAAGGAAUGAACGAGCUGCCUUCAGAUUAUGCUAA